rnacentral:rRNA from 1 species
UACGUAGGGGGGCAAGCGUUGUCCGGAUUUAUUGGGCGUAAAGAGCUCGUAGGCGGUUGGGCAAGUCACGUGUGAAAUCUCCACGCUCAACGUGGAGGCGCCACGUGAGACUGCCCUGACUCGAGUCCGGUAGGGGAGCGUGGAACUUCCGGUGGAGCGGUGAAAUGCGUUGAUAUCGGAAGGAACGCCGGUGGCGAAAGCGACGUGCUGGAUCUCUUCUGACGGCUGAGGCGCGAAAGCCAGGGGAGCAAACGGG